AGAAUCAACGCUGGCGGCGUGCCUAACACAUGCAAGUCGAACGAGAAAGUGGAGCAAUCCAUGAGUAAAGUGGCGACCGGGUGAGUAACACGUGACUAACCUACCUUCAAGUGGGGGAUAACCUCGGGAAACCGGGGCUAAUACCGCAUAACAUCUUUGGAGUGGAAAUUCUGGAGAUCAAAGGAGCAAUUCGCUGGAAGAGGGGGUCGCGGCUGAUUAGCUAGUUGGCGGGGUAAUGGCCCACCAAGGCUUUGAUCGGUAGCCGGCCUGAGAGGGCGCACGGCCACACUGGAACUGAAACACGGUCCAGACUCCUACGGGAGGCAGCAGUGGGGAAUUUUGCGCAAUGGGGGAAACCCUGACGCAGCAACGCCGCGUGGAGGAUGAAGUCCCUUGGGACGUAAACUCCUUUCGACCGGGAAGAUGAUGACGGUACCGGUGGAAGAGCCCGGCUAACUUCGCGCCAGCAGCCGC
rnacentral:rRNA from 1 species